ACCCCGGGGCGGACUUCUGACGCUGGUUGCGCUCGCUUCUUCGUGGCACAUGCUUUAGUGUCUUUGUAGCCGCUUCUCGGAGGCGAGACGGUACAAUGAACAGACUUAUGUUCGAAUGCAGUCACCUCCACACACGAGCACACGGAGAAAGUUAAUGCAGCUGAAACAACUGUGAAAUCCGGACAGCUGGGCUUGCCUAACUACACACAGAUACUGGUUUUGUGAUCUCUUUAAGGAAAAGGAGAGCAAAGUGCUCAAAUCAGGAAAUCCCUGGCCUUCUUUGGAAAAGUCAAGUGUUCGAAUAACUGCAGGGCAUUACAUUGUUUUUGUAUUUGUUUUGGGUAGCAUAUACAACAAGAAUAGUACUGGUUCUGAAUUUCCAAUUAAGGAACUUUGAACGAACUUAAUUCAAAAUUUAAAAACCACGGUGGUGUUGAUUCCAUACAGUUUGUCUGGAGACAGGAGGGGAUCAAAAUGAAUUUAGAACAGAAGGCAACCAUCUGUUUAUGAUCAUUGGCUCUCAGGACUUUGCUAUUUGCUGAGACUGCAAAGGUGAAAGAAUGGUUCGUUAUCAAAGUUAAAUGUGCUUAAGAAUCACCAAGGAGACAUAGAGGAGGAGGCCAUGUAACAAAGUCGCCAGAACCUACGAUGAUGCAGCCACAGGUCAAGGAAGACCCAGAACCAUCAAAAACUGGAAGGGAAAGAAAGGAUCCUCCCUUGGAGCCUUUACCAGAAAUGCAGCCAUGCUGACACCUUGAUUUUGGACUUCUUGCCUCUAGAACUGUGAAACCCCCCACCCCCUUCACACCCAAGGGCACCCUCCUACUGAACUACAUCCCCAGCCCUUAAAAAAAAUAAUUGUUUUUGUUCUUUUUGAGGCAGAGUUUUGCUAGA